rnacentral:rRNA from 1 species
UACGUAGGGUGCAAGCGUUAAUCGGAAUUACUGGGCGUAAAGCGUGCGCAGGCGGUUUUGUAAGUCUGUCGUGAAAUCCCCGGGCUCAACCUGGGGAUUGCGAUGGAGACUGCAAGGCUAGAAUCUGGCAGAGGGGGGUAGAAUUCCACGUGUAGCAGUGAAAUGCGUAGAGAUGUGGAGGAACACCGAUGGCGAAGGCAGCCCCCUGGGUCAAGAUUGACGCUCAUGCACGAAAGGCGUGGGGAGCAAACGAGGAUACGAAAC